AGUGAACGCUGGCGGUAGGCCUAACACAUGCAAGUCGAACGGCAGCACAGGAGAGCUUGCUCUCUGGGUGGCGAGUGGCGGACGGGUGAGGAAUACAUCGGAAUCUACUCUGUCGUGGGGGAUAACGUAGGGAAACUUACGCCAAUACCGCAUACGACCUACGGGUGAAAGCAGGGGACAUUCGGGCCUUGCGCGAUUGAAUGAGCCGAUGUCUGAUUAGCUAGUUGGCGGGGUAAAGGCCCACCAAGGCGACGAUCCGUAGCUGGUCUGAGAGGAUGAUCAGCCACACUGGAGCUGAGACACGGUCCAGACUCCUACGGGAGGCAGCAGUGGGGAAUAUUGGACAAUGGGCGCAAGCCUGAUCCAGCCAUACCGCGUGGGUGAAGAAGGCCUUCGGGUUGUAAAGCCCUUUUGUUGGGAAAGAAAUCCAGCUGGCUAAUACCCGGUUGGGAUGACGGUACCCAAAGAAUAAGCACCGGCUAACUUCGUGCCAGCAGCCGCAGUAA
rnacentral:rRNA from 1 species